rnacentral:rRNA from 1 species
GUUAAAAAGCUCGUAGUUGGAUCUCGGCAAGUAGAGGGCGGUAUGCUUCGUAGCAUUACUGCCCUAUUACUUGUAGUUUUGCCAGAGGUUCCUGGGUGCUCUUAAUCGAGUGUCUAGGGAUGCUGGCAGGUUUACUUUGAAAAAAUUAGAGUGCUCAAAGCAGGCUAUUACGCUUGAAUAUUCGUGCAUGGAAUAAUAGAAUAGGAAGUUGUUUCUAUUUUGUUGGUUUUCGGAAAUCGACUUAAUGAUUAAUAGGGACAGUCGGGGGCAUUUGUAUUCAAACGACAGAGGUGAAAUUCUUGGACCGUUUGAAGACAAACUACUGCGAAAGCAUUUGCCAAGAAUGUUUUCAUUAAUCAAGAACGAGAGUUAGAGGUUCGAAGGCGAUUAGAUACCGCCCUAGUUCUAACCAUAAACGAUGCCAGCUAGCGAUCUGAGGACGUUUUUUUUGUAGACUCCUCAGGAAGCUUCCGGGAAACCAAAGCGUGUGGGUUCCGGGGGAAGUAUGGUUGCAAAGCUGAAACUUAAAGGAAUCGACGGAAGGGCACCACCAGGAGUGGAGCCUGCGGCUUAAUUUGACUCAACACGGGAAAUCUCACCAGGCCCGGACACUGGAAGGAUUGACAGAUUGAGAGCUCUUUCUCGAUUCGGUGGGUGGUGGUGCAU